CUCUAUGGCGGACGGUGCGAGGGGGCCUUGCGCCCGCCGGUUCGUUUGCUGAUUGAUUGCUUCCCGGUAUUGCAACCACGCAUCGUCCGCCACCUUC
rnacentral:antisense_RNA from 3 species